rnacentral:piRNA from 1 species
GAGAAGAUCUAUGUGCUCCUUCGUCG